GAGCAUCGAGCAGCACUUAGCAGAGUGAGGCAGGCGGGCCUAUGAGAAAGGAUGGAGAGGCAGGGAAGUUGAAGCUGCGGUAGUGAGAAGCUGAAGGGAACUUUGACCGCCUGCUUCUAGAGAUAUACUGCUGCCUGAACUGGGUCAGACAGCCACAGGUGCUUCAAACCACCUUUUAUACCACUCUGGUUGGAAAUAGAACCAUUGGAGACUCAUCUUGUUACCUUCAGCAAAAAUGGAAACAAAUCAAGACUUUGAGAAUGCCAGUGGUCAGCAAAAGCUUGUUAAUAAAGCUUGUAGAGGAAGUCUCCCAGACA
rnacentral:lncRNA from 1 species